rnacentral:lncRNA from 10 species
AACUGGUGAUCAGCAGCUUCCCGAUAAGCUCUCGAGUUGGGCGAGUGGGCUCAAGCGUGCGCACUAAGAGGCAAAAUGGCGGAUGUAUGAACUUCCUCUGGGGGCAUUCAACCAGUAAAGGAAAACCGCCCCUAGAGAGCAUGCGCACAACCUCAGUCAACUCACUACACAUGCAAUUACCCUCCUGAGUGCUGACCAACACUGCUGCAUGGGGCUGUUGAGCAACAGCCCGCCCCAAGGGAAGAACCGAGGGAGGAGAAGAGAAAACUCCAGAGCCGUGCCAACGGAUAAACCCCACGCCCAGGGCUGAGCGGUCACUUGGAUCUCUCACGUGGCGCACUCAGCCCUCUUCCAAGUAUACUUUAACUUCCUUUCACUCCUGCUCUAAAACUUUUUCAUAAACCCUCACUCCUGUUCUAAAACGUGCCUCAAUCUCUCCCUCUACCUUAAACCUACUUCUGCUCCAGAUUCUUUCCACUGAGGAGGCAAGGAUGGAGUUGCUGCUGACCCGUGCAGAUUUGCUGCUGGUAACAUACUCAUGGGCAAAGUCUGAAAAACCUCUUCCUGCCCUGGGCAAGGCAGAUGGGGCAGCCCAGCAGGCUGGCUUUGCCCACCGUCUCCGAUAUCAUCCAACACAGUCAGCCAGGCCACAUUCGCUGCAUCCUUUCCAGCAAGAUGUCAUUCUGAGAUUUUUGUCAUUCCUGGGCGUUAUGAGGACUGCCAAGGGACACAAUUCCAUGGGAGGAAAGUUUUCUUCUAAGCUGCAAGCCAGCUCUGGCUUCUGGAGUUUCUCCUUAGGAUUGCAAGACAGUAGUUCCCUGUCCUUUAGGUCUUCUCCAGAAAUACCUUAAAAUAGC